CCCUUUGGGUGUGACUGCGUACCUUUUGUAUAAUGGGUCAGCGACUUAUAUUCUGUAGCAAGGUUAACCGAAUAGGGGAGCCGGAGGGAAACCGAGUCUUAAUUGGGCGUUAAGUUGCAGGGUAUAGACCCGAAACCCGGUGAUCUAGCCAUGGGCAGGUUGAAGGUUGGGUAACACUAACUGGAGGACCGAACCGACUAAUGUUGAAAAAUUAGCGGAUGACCUGUGGCUGGGGGUGAAAGGCCAAUCAAACCGGGAGAUAGCUGGUUCUCCCCGAAAGCUAUUUAGGUAGCGCCUCGUGAAUUCAUCUCCGGGGGUAGAGCACUGUUUCGGCUAGGGGGCCAUCCCGGCUUACCAACCCGAUGCAAACUGCGAAUACCGGAGAAUGUUAUCACGGGAGACACACGGCGGGUGCUAACGUCCGUCGUGAAGAGGGAAACAACCCAGACCGCCAGCUAAGGUCCCAAAGUCAUGGUUAAGUGGGAAACGAUGUGGGAAGGCCCAGACAGCCAGGAUGUUGGCUUAGAAGCAGCCAUCAUUUAAAGAAAGCGUAAUAGCUCACUGGUCGAGUCGGCCUGCGCGGAAGAUGUAACGGGGCUAAACCAUGCACCGAAGCUGCGGCAGCGACGCUUAUGCGUUGUUGGGUAGGGGAGCGUUCUGUAAGCCUGCGAAGGUGGCCUGUGAGGGUUGCUGGAGGUAUCAGAAGUGCGAAUGCUGACAUAAGUAACGAUAAAGCGGGUGAAAAGCCCGCUCGCCGGAAGACCAAGGGUUCCUGUCCAACGUUAAUCGGGGCAGGGUGAGUCGACCCCUAAGGCGAGGCCGAAAGGCGUAGUCGAUGGGAAACGGGUUAAUAUUCCCGUACUUGGUGUUACUGCGAAGGGGGGACGGAGAAGGCUAUGUUGGCCGGGCGACGGUUGUCCCGGUUUAAGCGUGUAGGCUGGUUUUCCAGGCAAAUCCGGAAAAUCAAGGCUGAGGCGUGAUGACGAGGCACUACGGUGCUGAAGCAACAAAUGCCCUGCUUCCAGGAAAAGCCUCUAAGCAUCAGGUAACAUCAAAUCGUACCCCAAACCGACACAGGUGGUCAGGUAGAGAAUACCAAGGCGCUUGAGAGAACUCGGGUGAAGGAACUAGGCAAAAUGGUGCCGUAACUUCGGGAGAAGGCACGCUGACACGUAGGUGAAGUGAUUUACUCACGGAGCUGAAGUCAGUCGAAGAUACCAGCUGGCUGCAACUGUUUAUUAAAAACACAGCACUGUGCAAACACGAAAGUGGACGUAUACGGUGUGACGCCUGCCCGGUGCCGGAAGGUUAAUUGAUGGGGUCAGCGCAAGCGAAGCUCCUGAUCGAAGCCCCGGUAAACGGCGGCCGUAACUAUAACGGUCCUAAGGUAGCGAAAUUCCUUGUCGGGUAAGUUCCGACCUGCACGAAUGGCGUAAUGAUGGCCAGGCUGUCUCCACCCGAGACUCAGUGAAAUUGAACUCGCUGUGAAGAUGCAGUGUACCCGCGGCAAGACGGAAAGACCCCGUGAACCUUUACUAUAGCUUGACACUGAACAUUGAGCCUUGAUGUGUAGGAUAGGUGGGAGGCUUUGAAGUGUGGACGCCAGUCUGCAUGGAGCCGACCUUGAAAUACCACCCUUUAAUGUUUGAUGUUCUAACGUGGACCCGUUACCCGGGUUGCGGACAGUGUCUGGUGGGUAGUUUGACUGGGGCGGUCUCCUCCUAAAGAGUAACGGAGGAGCACGAAGGUUGGCUAAUCCUGGUCGGACAUCAGGAGGUUAGUGCAAUGGCAUAAGCCAGCUUGACUGCGAGCGUGACGGCGCGAGCAGGUGCGAAAGCAGGUCAUAGUGAUCCGGUGGUUCUGAAUGGAAGGGCCAUCGCUCAACGGAUAAAAGGUACUCCGGGGAUAACAGGCUGAUACCGCCCAAGAGUUCAUAUCGACGGCGGUGUUUGGCACCUCGAUGUCGGCUCAUCACAUCCUGGGGCUGAAGUAGGUCCCAAGGGUAUGGCUGUUCGCCAUUUAAAGUGGUACGCGAGCUGGGUUUAGAACGUCGUGAGACAGUUCGGUCCCUAUCUGCCGUGGGCGCUGGAGAACUGAGGGGGGCUGCUCCUAGUACGAGAGGACCGGAGUGGACGCAUCACUGGUGUUCGGGUUGUCAUGCCAAUGGCACUGCCCGGUAGCUAAAUGCGGAAGAGAUAAGUGCUGAAAGCAUCUAAGCACGAAACUUGCCCCGAG
rnacentral:rRNA from 1 species